GUUAGCUUAAAAUAAUUAGUUUCGACCUAAUUUUUGAUUGGCUAAUU
rnacentral:tRNA from 1 species